rnacentral:rRNA from 1 species
CACGUAGGCGGAUUUGUAAGUCAGGGGUGAAAUCCCGGGGCUCAACCUCGGAACUGCCUUUGAUACUGCAAAUCUCGAGUCCGGAAGAGGUGAGUGGAAUUCCUAGUGUAGAGGUGAAAUUCGUAGAUAUUAGGAAGAACACCAGUGGCGAAGGCGGCUCACUGGUCCGGUACUGACGCUGAGGUGCGGAAGCGUGGGGAGCAAACA